GACGAACGCUGGCGGCGUGCUUAACACAUGCAAGUCGAACGAUGAACUUGGAGCUUGCUCUGGGGGAUUAGUGGCGAACGGGUGAGUAACACGUGAGUAACCUGCCCUGGACUCUGGGAUAACUUCGAGAAAUCGGAGCUAAUACCGGAUAGGACCUUGCACCGCAUGGAGGUGGGUGGAAAGUUUUUCGGUUUGGGAUGGACUCGCGGCCUAUCAGCUUGUUGGUGAGGUAAUGGCUCACCAAGGCGUCGACGGGUAUCCGGCCUGAGAGGGUGACCGGCCACACUGGGACUGAGACACGGCCCAGACUCCUACGGGAGGCAGCAGUGGGGAAUAUUGCACAAUGGGCGCAAGCCUGAUGCAGCAACGCCGCGUGCGGGAUGACGGCCUUCGGGUUGUAAACCGCUUUUAGUAGGGAAGAAGCCUUCGGGUGACGGUACCUGCAGAAAAAGGACCGGCUAACUACGUGCCAGCCGCCGCAGUAACAC
rnacentral:rRNA from 1 species